UCACAGUUCUGAAGAUUAGGGCACUUGUUUAUGCAGAGCCUUGUAACUGAGGGCAGACUUUGUUGUUUAAUUGGUAAGCAUGUAAACUCUGAAUCAUCAAUAUUUAAGCACAGGCAGCAGCAUUUAUCUCCAGACAAGGAGAGAAGCCUCUGGAGGGCGACUCCAAGGCGACGCGGGUAACUCCGGCUGCGCGGCGUCGCCGCCGGCCAGGUGCCGCCUCCCUGCUAGCACGGUUCGCGUCUGUCAUUUUCUGCACCACUUGACGUAGCUUUGAACGAGGAUACAUUAGGUGGUUGGAGUGAUCUCUGUCUCGGCGGACGACCUCUUCCUCCUCGAUGCAGCACUAGCCGGUGCCGAUGAGGUGGCGGCCGUUGUCGUCGGCAUUGGCGGAGGCAGUGGCGCAGGUGGAGCUUGUUGUUGUGGAGGAGAUUCGACUGCGGGCGGCGUUGGAUUCCUUCGUGGAGGACAUGCGACGGCCAGUGGUGGGGAUGCGGCCUUCUCUUGUACGUCGUCGUCGUCGUCGUCGUGUCCCAUGACACUAUGGUCAUGCGGUGAAUGGACAGACGAACUUCGGUGGGAGGAGGCCCUGGAUUUAAAGAAAACAAAUAAGGUAUAUGUAUACAUGACUAAAUGUAAUUUGAUACAGUAUAUAAUUAUAGAAAAAGCAGUAGCGUUCACAAUAAUCCGCACCUGCUAGGGUUCGGUUGUGGCGGCGGCACCCCAGGAAUAAUGAUGUACCGUUUCCUCCAACAUAUGAAUGUCUUCUCCGCUUCACCAAGUGUCUUCUCUCCAUCACCGCCUUCGAUAUCGAGAGGCACAUUUUCACGGCCUCUGACCACUCUAUCCACCAAGACACAAGCAUAUCCGGCUGGUAUUGGGACAAAGUGGAUUGUUGGUGUCUUGGUGGGGUCGAUAGGAGAUACGACACCGGUAGCCACCUUUACUGUGCCAUCGCCCUCCGGAAUAUGGAGCUCACAAGACGUCAACGGAGCGGUGACGUCAUCCACCGGGAAUCGCAGCCCUACGUCAUCAACUUGCCUCGCAGGCGCCUCCGUAGAAGCACAACUACUCUUUAGAUGAGCUGAGCAAGGGCUGAUGUUGGCGGUCGGUGGCUGUGAUAAGCUUUGGAGGCGGGAAGUUAUAGCUUCCUCCACGGCCUUUUGGAUUUUCUCAUCCAUUGUGGCCUU